rnacentral:lncRNA from 1 species
CGCCAUUCAGCCUGUCUGUCCUCGAUUAUGCUAAUUUUCUCCUCUAUGUUGUCUACACGGGCAUUCAGGGAAUCCGUGUUCUGUUUUAUCUGGUCCAUUGUGUUUUUCAUCUCAAGUAAUUCUGUUUGAUUCUUCUUUAUGAUUUCAAUCUCUUUUGUGAAGUAACUCCAGAACUUGGCUUGUUUCUCUAUCUUUCUCUCUACCUCAUUGAGUUUUUUGAUUAUAGCUGCUCUGAAUUCAUUAUCACUUAGUUUACCUAAUUCCAAGUCCUCAGGACUUAAUUCUGUGUUUUUAUUGUUUUCCUUCUGGUCUGGGGCUUUUAUAAAUUGCUGGAUGGUAGAGGAGCGGUUUUUUCUCAUGGUGGUAGAAUUCAGUUGCAGUUACAGCCUGUCGCCACUAGAUGGGGGUCAAGAGCGGCGUGUUAGCUCUCUGCUUUGGGGCAAGAUGGCUGCGCCCACUGGCUUCGCUGGGGGGGAGGGGCUGUUACUCACACGCGCCGGUCUGGGUUCAGAUCAGUUCUGUUCUGUGGUCUCCCAAGGCCCUUGAUUUAUAGGGUCCCCGCGGACGGAAGCUUUCCCCCUGUCAGCGGGUCUCCACUGAAUCAGCGGCAGGAGUCCUGGAUGAUCCCCCGGUCGCGCGGCCCCUCCCCCGCUCCUUCCCAACCCACGCCGCAGCGAUCGCAGACUCUAGGGGAGGGAGCGAAGUUCUCUCUAUCGUUCCAGCGCCUCCGAGGGUGUAAAGCAAGAAUAUUCCCGCAACAUGUGUUCAGACCUCAAAUCCAUGUAAAAGCCAGCCCAUAGUUACAAAUUAUGAACAGAGAUUAUUUUGCUCUUCACCCAGAGAUAAG